rnacentral:lncRNA from 1 species
AAUGCAGGAUUCAGAACUUUGGGGUGAUAUUUUCAUAUAUUGCCGGUUACCCAGAUGACUAUGUAAAAGAAAUCAAAUUGAUCCCUAAAAGUAUGAAAUUGUUUCAUUUGUUGUUUUUUGGUUUUUUUUUUCAUAGCUCUCUGCAACAGACAAUCUAUCCAGCAAAACAAUAUCAAAAAAUUAAAAGGCAAACUGGGAGUAGAAAUCCUGGUCAUAGGAUGCAAAAGUGAAACUAUAUUAAUAUUUCAGAGACAUCUACGAAUUGUACAGUCAGAAUACCUCCACUACUAUUCUACAAGGAAUAUGCAGCAAGAGACGACAGUGCUUCCACCCAUGAAAAAGCUAUGAACUCCACAGUAUCUGCUCUGGCAUGCCAGCUGGCCUCUCCACACAUGUCUUCUGUCUUGCUCAUCAGCACGUGUGGAACAGAGAUGUGUGCUGUAACCUGGGAAGGAGGAAGAUACAAAGAUUUCAAAGCAAUAAGCACAAACAUGGACUCAGCAUUUUGAGAAAACAUUAAAUACCCCUUCUGUCACCUACUUUCCCCAGAUGUGAAUUCCUACCCUUUUGCUGGAAAUCUCAAGGUAGGUGAGAAGGUGGAUAUCUUACUAUCAGGAGUGUG